UCACUUUUGAUGUAUAUUCUGAAGUUUCGGUACUUAAAUCAAACGAGGGAUUAAACCAAGCAGAAGAAGAAAUUAUCCACGGAUCUGUUCAAACUGACGUAGUACUGGAAAUGGAAUUUGGAAAUUUCGAACAAGGCUGCAAAUGCUUGG